rnacentral:rRNA from 1 species
AGAGUUUGAUCAUGGCUCAGAACGAACGCUGGCGGCGUGCUUAAGACAUGCAAGUCGAACGGUAAGGCCCCUUCGGGGGUACACGAGUGGCGCACGGGUGAGUAACACGUGGGUAAUCUACCUUCGGGUCUGGGACAACUCCGGGAAACUGGAGCUAAUACCAGAUGAGACCACGAGGUCCUCGGACUUCGCGGGAAAAGAUGGCCUCUUCUUGAAAGCUAUCGCCUGUAGAUGAGCCCGCGCCCCAUUAGCUAGUUGGUGAGGUAACGGCUCACCAAGGCGACGAUGGGUAGCUGGUCUGAGAGGACGACCAGCCACACUGGAACUGAGACACGGUCCAGACUCCUACGGGAGGCAGCAGUCGGGAAUUUUGGGCAAUGGGCGAAAGCCUGACCCAGCAACGCCGCGUGAGGGAUGAAGGCCCUCGGGUCGUAAACCUCUGUCGGAAGGGAAGAACGAUCGCAAGGUGAAUAAUCUUGGGGUCUGACGGUACCUCAAAGAAG